UACGAAGGGGGCUAGCGUUGCUCGGAAUCACUGGGCGUAAAGGGUGCGUAGGCGGGUCUUUAAGUCAGAGGGGAAAUCCUGGAGCUCAACUCCAGAACUGCCUUUGAUACUGAGGAUCUUGAGUUCGGGAGAGGUGAGUGGAACUGCGAGUGUAGAGGUGAAAUUCGUAGAUAUUCGCAAGAACACCAGUGGCGAAGGCGGCUCACUGGCCCGAUACUGACGCUGAGGCACGAAAGCGUGGGGAGCAAGCAGG
rnacentral:rRNA from 1 species